CAAAGUAACUGAUCAUGAGGCCCAACAUGCAUGAGCCAUCCUGAGUCUCCUUCCUCCGUAGGAUGGAGCCUAUAGUACUCAGCAGAGUCAGAUUAUGACCCUCCUGCCUCAAGUUCCCAAGUGCUACGAUUAUAGACAUGAGCCACCACACCUGACCACAGAUACAUAAAGUGAGUGGUCAUGUGAAACUGAAGAAAUAAAUGUUCAAGUUCUCCGCAGCCAAAGAACACUAAGAAAUGCUAGGAAGUCACCAGAAGGUUGGUAGAGUCGGAGAACAAGAGGGAACCUCCCCAAUGACACCAUAGUGCUGUGUUUCUACCUUGAUCUUAAGGAAAUUGUAGCAAACUGAAAGUGUCUCCUCUUCCUGUCUUCAUUGUCCAUCUACAUAAUAAAAAUAUUUUGUUCAAGUAAACAGCCGAGGCAGAUGGACACAGGGAUUAGGUAUAAAAGACAGGUCUAUGCUGGAGGGUUGGUUGAGAUUCCACAUGUGAUGUUGAGAAGUAUCUGUGUGGUCCAAGGAUAGAGAGCAAGACUCUGAAGUCCCUGUUAUAUCCCCCUACCUUUAACAACAACCAAUCUAGUUUCCUCUAUUAAACCAACUG
rnacentral:lncRNA from 1 species